UCGGAGUUCAUAAACAGAACAGACGGACAGCAACCCACCAGUUGUUCAUUUCUCAUGCCAGUGUAUAUGAUGUUACAAGCCUUUGUUGUCUGUGCCGUGUUAGUGGCUGCGGAGGGCACGUCCGACAUUCGUGACUGUGCGAGUGUGUUCAGCCAGCUACUCACCGGUCUGCGCAUCUAACAGAGUGACGUAUUCCAACCCUUGUGAAAUGGGCGUCAGUCUCUGCUUGUCUGGACAGCUCGCUACGGUCACAGUUAUUGACAUGGGUGCUUGCUAGCUUGACACUAGAGCGUAAUAAAACAUUGUAUCGGUG